rnacentral:rRNA from 1 species
CCUACGGGUGGCAGCAGUGAGGAAUAUUGGUCAAUGGGCGUAACCCUGAACCAGCCAAGUCGCGUGAGGGAUGAAGGUUCUAUGGAUCGUAAACUUCUUUUAUAUGGGAAUAAAGUGUAGGACGUGUCCUGUUUUGCAUGUACCUUAUGAAUAAGGAUCGGCUAACUCCGUGCCAGCAGCCGCGGUAAUACGGAGGAUCCGAGCGUUAUCCGGAUUUAUUGGGUUUAAAGGGUGCGUAGGCGGCCUUUUAAGUCAGCGGUGAAAGUGUGUGGCUCAACCGUAGAAUUGCAGUUGAAACUGGGAGGCUUGAGUAUAGUAGAGGCAGGCGGAAUGCGUGGUGUAGCGGUGAAAUGCUUAGAUAUCACGAAGAACCCCGAUUGCGAAGGCAGCCUGC